GUAACCUUACCAGGUCUUGACAUCCCGAUGCUAUUUCUAGAGAUAGAAAGUUACUUCGGUACAUCGGUGACAGGUGGUGCAUGGUUGUCGUCAGCUCGUGUCGUGAGAUGUUGGGUUAAGUCCCGCAACGAGCGCAACCCCUAUUGUUAGUUGCCAUCAUUCAGUUGGGCACUCUAGCGAGACUGCCGGUAAUAAACCGGAGGAAGUGGGGAUGACGUCAAAUCAUCAUGCCCCUUAUGACCUGGGCUACACACGUGCUACAAUGGUUGGUACAACGAGUUGCGAGUCGGUGACGGCGAGCUAAUCUCUUAAAGCCAAUCUCAGUUCGGAUUGUAGGCUGCAACUCGCCUACAUGAAGUCGGAAUCGCUAGUAAUCGUGGAUCAGAAUGUCACGGUGAAUACGUUCCCGGGUCUU
rnacentral:rRNA from 1 species